rnacentral:rRNA from 1 species
GACGAACGCUGGCGGCGUGCUUAACACAUGCAAGUCGAACGGAAAGGUCCUGCUUUUGUGGGGUGCUCGAGUGGCGAACGGGUGAGUAACACGUGAGUAACCUGCCCUUGACUUUGGGAUAACUUCAGGAAACUGGGGCUAAUACCGGAUAGGAGCUCCUGCUGCAUGGUGGGGGUUGGAAAGUUUCGGCGGUUGGGGAUGGACUCGCGGCUUAUCAGCUUGUUGGUGGGGUAGUGGCUUACCAAGGCUUUGACGGGUAGCCGGCCUGAGAGGGUGACCGGCCACAUUGGGACUGAGAUACGGCCCAGACUCCUACGGGAGGCAGAAGUGGGGAAUAUUGCACAAUGGGCGGAAGCCUGAUGCAGCAACGCCGCGUGCGGGAUGACGGCCUGCGGGUUGUAAACCGCUUUCGCCUGUGACGAAGCGUGAGUGACGGUAAUGGGUAAAGAAGCACCGGCUAACUACGUG